UGAGCAAUCUGCCCUUCCCUUUGGAAUAAGCGUUGGAAACGACGUCUAAUGCCGAAUACGACCUCCUUUCGCAUGAUCGGAGGUGGAAAGCUCCGGCGGAGAAGGAUGAGCUCGCGGCCUAUCAGCUAGUUGGUGUGGGUAAUGGCCCACCAAGGCGACGACGGGUAGCCGGCCUGAGAGGGUGACCGGCUACACUGGGACUGAGACACGGCCCAGACUCCUACGGGNGCAGCAGG
rnacentral:rRNA from 1 species